rnacentral:rRNA from 1 species
AACGAACGCUGGCGGCAGGCCUAACACAUGCAAGUCGAGCGGACCCUUCGGGGUUAGCGGCGGACGUGUGAGUAACGCGUGGGAAUAUGCCCUUCUCUACGGAAUAGUCCUGGGAAACUGAGGGUAAUACCGUAUACGCCCUUUGGGGGAAAGAUCUGGCGGUGGAGGAUGGGCCCGGGUUGGUUUAGGUUGUUGGUGGGGUAAUGGCCUACCAAGGCGUCGAUGGGUAGCUGGUUUGAGAGGAUGACAGGCCACACUGGGACGGGGACAAGGCCCAGACGCAUACGGGAGGCAGCAGUGGGGAAUAUUGCACAAGGGGCGGAAGCCUGAUGCAGCAACGCCGCGUGCGGGAGGACGGCCUGCGGGUUGUAAACCGCGGUCGCCUGUGACGAAGCGGGAGUGACGGUAAUGGGUAAAGAAGCACCGGCUAACUACGUG